AACGAACGCUGGCGGCAGGCUUAACACAUGCAAGUCGAGCGCCCCGCAAGGGGAGCGGCAGACGGGUGAGUAACGCGUGGGAAUCUACCCAUCUCUACGGAAUAACGCAUGGAAACGUGUGCUAAUACCGUAUACGUCCUUCGGGAGAAAGAUCUAUCGGAGAUGGAUGAGCCCGCGUUGGAUUAGCUAGUUGGUGGGGUAAAGGCCUACCAAGGCGACGAUCCAUAGCUAGUCUGAGAGGAUGAUCAGCCACACUGGGACUGAGACACGGCCCAGACUCCUACGGGAGGCAGCAGUGGGGAAUAUUGGACAAUGGGCGCAAGCCUGAUCCAGCCAUGCCGCGUGAGUGAUGAAGGCCCUAGGGUUGUAAAGCUCUUUCACCGGUGAAGAUAAUGACGGUAACCGGAGAAGAAGCCCCGGCUAACUUCGUGCCAGCCGCCGCAGUAAUAC
rnacentral:rRNA from 1 species